rnacentral:rRNA from 1 species
UUGGAGGGCAAGUCUGGUGCCAGCAGCCGCGGUAAUUCCAGCUCCAAUAGCGUAUAUUAAAGUUGUUGCAGUUAAAAAGCUCGUAGUUGAAUUUCGGGAUUAGUACGUUGGUCGUGCCUUCGGUACGUACUGGUGUUACUGAAUCCUACCUUCUGACGAACCAUCAUGUCAUUAAUUUGGUGUGGUGGGGAAUCAGGACUGUUACUUUGAAAAAAUUAGAGUGUUUAAAGCAGGCUGGCGCUUGAAUACAUUAGCAUGGAAUAAUGAAAUAGGACGUUGACCCUAUUUUGUUGGUUUCUAGGAUUGACGUAAUGAUUAAUAGGGAUAGUUGGGGGCAUUAGUAUUCAAUUGUCAGAGGUGAAAUUCUUGGAUUUAUUGAAGACUAACUACUGCGAAAGCAUUUGCCAAGGAUGUUUUCAUUAAUCAAGAACGAAAGUUAGGGGAUCGAAGACGAUCAGAUACCGUCGUAGUCUUAACCAUAAACUAUGCCGACUAGGGAUCGGAUGAUGUUAUUUUUAAUGAAUCAUUCGGCGCCUUACGGGAAAC